rnacentral:tRNA from 1 species
GGAGAGGUGGCCGAGUGGUUUAAGGCGCGGCACUGGAAAUGCCGUAUAGAGUGCUCCUCUAUCGAGGGUUCGAAUCCCUCCCUCUCCG